CCUUCGAGGCUUCUCCGCCCUCUCAUCCUUCUUCUCCAUCAAAUCCUCCUCGAUGCAACGCCCCUGUCGCCCGCACCCUUGCCCCAAACUAACCCUAGCUGUCUACAGUUCCAGCCAUCGCCGGCCGAUUCCGGCGUCGCCGUCCGUCGGCGUGACUCCUCCAUAAACUCUCCACUGUAUCUCCUUCACGGCGCCGCCUCCCUGCACCCGCUUGCGCCCCUGCGGCUAACCCUAGUUUGGCCUGGCUCGGUCGCCGGCGUGAUGCCGCACGCCGGUGCGCCCUCUGGUCUUCUACCUUUACCCAGACGCCGGCGGGAUGGUACUGCAGGUCUGCAACCCCGGCGUCCGUGUACUGGUGCUGGUGAUGCUGCGAUGUCAGCUCUGGUGGUGCUGUGGUUGAGGUGAUGCUGCUGCUGGUGGCAUGGUGAUGGUGCUCUGCUGCUGCUACUACCCCCUCGACCUUGACGCCGGCGGGACGGUGCCGCGGACGCAACCCCGGCGUCAACUUCUACUUCUAGUGCUGCAAUUGCAAUAUAAAGGAUAAGAAAAUUGGGAAGAUUUGGAUUAUGAAGAUUUAGUUUAGAAAUCUCUUGUAUUCUUUUAUAAUUUUCUAUUUCUUUUCUAACUUGUAAUUUAUUGAAUAAUGUUAUUUGUAAUAAAGUUUGAAUUAUUUAUUCAUUUGGAA